GGGAUUUAGAUUAUCAAUGCAUUCGAUCGGAAUUCAUCGGUGGGCUGGAUCUCGCGCGGCUACUCGGCGUCCUGGAGAAUGUCCAAAUCCAUGGCUUCCGGCGGCGGCACUAUAUUGGCGCGUGGAGGAUUUGCUGAAGCGAGCUUCAAUCUUUUCCAAUUCUCGUGACUGAGGAGUUUUUGGAAGCGCUGGCGAAGCUGUGUGUGAUGAUCUUGUGACUGUGGAUUUCAUUCGGAGGGAGGUCUUGUCGUUGAAUUUGCAGCUUCUGUUUGCCAUCGAAGAUCUAAGCGAUCAUCCUCAAGGCAAAGUUCUUUGUGGGAAGCACUUCAUUACUAGGCUUCUGACGUUGGCUUGAAGUCGGGGUCUUUAAAACUCAAGCGUGCUUCUGUGGAGACUCUCUGUGCCUUGAUUACUCGAUCGGCCGAGAACCAGAAGUUUCUGAUACUUCACGUGACUGGAUGCUACAAGCUUUUCAAGCUUUUACUCCCGAAGUGUGGAGACUUUCAACUUCAAGCUAGUGCUGCGGAGAUACUUUUUCGAUUAACAAUGGGACACAAGAGGCUCAUGGAUAUAGUUGAUGACGAUGCUGCGAAGAGGGCAAUGCUAUCCAUGCACGAGAUGAAAAGGCCAGAUGUCAAGACCGGCAUUAGGAACUUCGUUAACUUGGUCAAUGAGUCCCUGGGAGCAUC